rnacentral:rRNA from 1 species
GGUUCUCCAUGCCGUAAAAGAUGAUUUAUAAGUGUUGGGGGGUUUCCGCCCUUCAGUGCUGCAGAUAACGCAUUAAGUAAUCCGCCUGGGGAGUACGACCGCAAGGUUGAAACUCAAAAGAAUUGACGGGGGCCCGCACAAGCGGUGGAGCAUGUGGUUUAAUUUGAAGCUACGCGAAGAACCUUACCAGGUCUUGACAUCUUUUGCCAACCUAAGAGAUUAGGCGUUCCCUUCGGGGACAGAAUGACAGGUGGUGCAUGGUUGUCGUCAGCUCGUGUCGUGAGAUGUUGGGUUAAGUCCCGCAACGAGCGCAACCCUUAUUACUAGUUGCCAGCAUUCAGUUGGGCACUCUAGUGAGACUGCCGGUGACAAACCGGAGGAAGGUGGGGACGACGUCAAAUCAUCAUGCCCCUUAUGACCUGGGCUACACACGUGCUACAAUGGAUGGUACAACGAGUCGCGAAACCGCGAGGUUUAGCUAAUCUCUUAAAACCAUUCUCAGUUCGGACUGUAGGCUGCAACUCGCCUACACGAAGUCGGAAUCGCUAGUAAUCGCGGAUCAGCAUGCCGCGGUGAAUACGUUCCCGGGCCUUGUACACACCGCCCGUCACACCAUGAGAGUUUGUAACACCCAAAGCCGGUGGGGUAACCUUUUAGGAGCUAGCCGUCUAAGGUGGGACAGAUGAUUAGGGUGAAGUCGUAACAAGAGCAGCCAC